GAUGAACGCUAGCGGCAGGCUUAAUACAUGCAAGUCGAGGGGCAGCGCAGUGUAGCAAUACAUGGGCGGCGACCGGCAAACGGGUGCGGAACACGUACAGAACCUUCCUUCGAGCGGGGAAUAGCCCAGAGAAAUUUGGAUUAAUACCCCAUAGUAUAUUGAAAAGGCAUCUUUUUAAUAUUAAAGAUUUAUCACUUGAAGAUGGCUGUGCGGCUGAUUAGGUAGUGGCGGGGUAACGGCCCACCAAGCCAUCGAUCAGUAACUGGUGUGAGAGCACGACCAGUCACACGGGCACUGAGACACGGGCCCGACUCCUACGGGAGGCAGCAGUAAGGAAUAUUGGUCAAUGGACGCAAGUCUGAACCAGCCAUGCCGCGUGGAAGGAUGAAGGUCCUCUGGAUUGUAAACUUCUUUUAUAUGGGACGUAAAAAGGGUUUUCUAACUCGUCUGACGGUACCAUAUGAAUAAGCACCGGCUAA
rnacentral:rRNA from 1 species